rnacentral:sRNA from 1 species
GUUAGGUGCACUGGUGUGUGCCUGUAGUCCCAGCUACUCAGGAUGCUGAGGCAGGAGAACACUUAAGCCCAGGAGUUUGAGUCCGGUCUGGGAAACAUAGUGAGACCCCAUCUCAA